AUAUGAUUUUUCUCUGUUCCCUUCUAUUUUAUGACUGCUCCGUUCUCUCUGAUAAUCUGAGCCAAGAGCCGUGCAAACAUAUCCCUCUUGCUUGGGGGGUGCUACUUCCUGUUGGGUUUGCACAUUGUUCUGGAUGUUGAGGGUGAGGGGCUGGGUCACAGAAGAGGUUUGAGGUUGAGUUUACCUGACUUCCUCUGAGAGAGUCCAGA